GAUGAACGCUGGCGGCGUGCCUAAUACAUGCCAGUCGAGCGAACAGACGAGGAGCUUGCUCCUCUGACGUUAGCGUCGGACGGGUGAGUAACACGUGGAUAACCUACCUAUAAGACUGGGAUAACUUCGGGAAACCGGAGCUAAUACCGGAUAAUAUAUUGAACCGCAUGGUUCAAUAGUGAAAGACGGUUUUGCUGUCACUUAUAGAUGGAUCCGCGCCGCAUUAGCUAGUUGGUAAGGUAACGGCUUACCAAGGCAACGAUGCGUAGCCGACCUGAGAGGGUGAUCGGCCACACUGGAACUGAGACACGGUCCAGACUCCUACGGGAGGCAGCAGUAGGGAAUCUUCCGCAAUGGGCGAAAGCCUGACGGAGCAACGCCGCGUGAGUGAUGAAGGUCUUCGGAUCGUAAAACUCUGUUAUUAGGGAAGAACAAAUGUGUAAGUAACUAUGCACAUCUUGACGGUACCUAAUCAGAAAGCCACGGCUAACUACGUG
rnacentral:rRNA from 1 species